UAAAGCCCAUGUCCAACUGCAGAUACAGUUUUAUAUAUACAUUUACCGUCCACAGGCUUUGACCAGGUUCUGAACAGUUCCUCCUCCAAUCACUUCUGCUGAAACUUGCACUUUCCCUUUUUUCCCACAUUUGCUAAUAUUCCCUCCACUCUUUCUCCACAGCAU